rnacentral:rRNA from 1 species
CCCCAGUACGAGAGGAACGGGACGCUGUGGCCUGUAGUUAACCGGUUGUCCGACAGGGCAAAUGCCGGGCAGCCACGCCAUUGGGAAUAAGGGCUGAAAGCAUCUAAGCCCGAAGUCUCUCCUGAAAAUAGGCAGCCGUUCCCAUAAACGG